CUCCGGGCCGUGCGAGUCUCGGCCGGCCGGGUCAGCAGAGCUGUGGGCAGCAGGAAGGCCGGCCUGUGUGGGGAUGGCCACCAAGCCCGCUCCGGAGCCGGAGUCUCGCGGAAAUGACGCCUGAUGGGGAGGUAACUACAGAGAAAUGCUGGUUCCACGCUCCGGGUCUGAGUACUGUCGGAGCCCCAGAGACAGGUGAACAGCCAGACGAGAAACAUGAGUAGAGGAGUAACCUCACACAGAGUGGGACUGACUGAGAAGGAUAGAGACCGUGAAGGGUCCGGGACUUGACGACCAGAGCCACCGUGAGGACAGCCAGACACAUCGGAACCCUGGCACGUUUCAGCCGCUGCACCUGACCUCACGGAGUACCUUCUAGGAGGUAACUACUGGUGUGUCCAGGCCUGUGUCACUUCACUGAAGGCUCAUCACGAAGAAAAGCCCUUGAAGAAACCUGAGGCUGAUCACAGAGCUAUGGUACGACCCAGCAAUUCCGCUCCUAGCGUGACCCACAAGAAUUAAAAAGGGGUGUCUGAUCGAAAAAAGUGUCCACAACUGUGCAAAGCAGCACUGUUCGCAACAGCCAGAAGGCGGAAACAGCAGCAGGACCCGUCAGCCAGUGAGAGGGUGAAGAAAACGUGAAACCCACCCAGCCGACCGUCAGUCAGCCGUGAAGAGGGUGCACGGGCCUGCCCCAGCGCGGAGGGCCGGAACGCGAUGCCAAGGGGAGCAGUAGAGCCAGAGCACAGACGGCUUCAGGAAGUGGAAUGGCAGCCCCCUGGGGCUGGAGCAGGGGCCGGUGGGGAACAAUGGCCCCAGUGCCUGGGGGUUUCUUCUGGAUGGUGGGAAAGCUCUGGAACGACAGUGGUGAGGCCGCACACAUUGCCACUGUCCUUAAUGGCAUGAAACUGGACACUUGAAAGUGACUACAA